rnacentral:rRNA from 1 species
AUUGAACGCUGGCGGCAGGCCUAACACAUGCAAGUCGAACGAGUGGCGGACGGGUGAGUAAUGUCUGGGAAACUGCCUGAUGGAGGGGGAUAACUACUGGAAACGGUAGCUAAUACCGCAUACCCUCGGAUGUGCCCAGAUGGGAUUAGCUAGUAGGAGGGGUAAAGGCUCACCAAGGCGACGAUCCCUAGCUGGUCUGAGAGGAUGACCAGCCACACUGGAACUGAGCUACGGUCCGGACUCCUACGGGAGGCAGCAGUGGGGAAUAUUGCACAAGGGGCGGAAGCCUGAUGCAGCCAUGCCGCGUGGAUGAAGAAGGCCUUCGGGUUGUAAAGUACUUUCAGCGGGGAGGCGUUACCCGCAGAAGACGCACCGGCUAACUCCGUGCCAGCGGCCGCGGUAAUAC